rnacentral:rRNA from 1 species
GAGGAAUAUUGGUCAAUGGAUGGAAAUCUGAACCAGCCAAGUAGCGUGCAGGAUGACGGCCCUAUGGGUUGUAAACUGCUUUUAUGUGAGAAUAAAGUUAGGUAUGUAUACUUAUUUGCAUGUAUCACAUGAAUAAGGACCGGCUAAUUCCGUGCCAGCAGCCGCGGUAAUACGGAAGGUCCAGGCGUUAUCCGGAUUUAUUGGGUUUAAAGGGUGCGUAGGCCGUUUGAUAAGCGUGUUGUGAAAUAUAGUGGCUCAACCUCUAUCGUGCAGCGCGAACUGUCGAACUUGAGUGCGUAGUAGGUAGGCGGAAUUCGUGGUGUAGCGGUGAAAUGCUUAGAUAUCACGAAGAACUCCGAUUGCGAAGGCAGCUUACCGUAACGUUACUGACACUUAAGCACGAAGGUGCGGGUAUCGAACAGGAUUAGAUACCCUGGUAGUCCGCACAGUAAACGAUGGAUGCUCGCUGUUGGCCUUUAUGGUCAGUGGCUUAGCGAAAGCGUUAAGCAUCCCACCUGGGGAGUACGCCGGCAACGGUG